UCUGUAGGUUUUCCAUGUAUUGAAACUGAAAGAAGGACAAGAUAUUACAGCUCUUGCUCUAAAUAAGGAUAACACAAAUCUUUUGGUUUCAACUUCAGAUAAAAAAUUGAUUAUCUUCACUGAUCCAGCUUUAAGCUUGAAAGUGGUGGAUCAAAUGCUCAAACUUGGUUGGUAAGAGGAUGGACUUAGGCACCUCAUAAAGUCAGCUUUUAGAGUAUCCAAAAGUGAUGUAAAAAUCUUUUAUACAUAACAACUACUAGGAAUGUCAUAAUGGGGAUGUUGCACUCCUUUUUGUAAGCAAUUUUGUUAUGUUUUUAUGGUUUAGAAAUGUCUUGUAACAUAUGUAACAACUAACUCUUACCAAAACAAUAUUCGACUCUUAGGUAUAGCUUUAGUAUAAGGUUAGUCUGCUCUCCCAAUUGUGCUUAAGUGUAAAUAUUUUACAAGCUUCUAUCUGAGGUUUGGGCCAAUAA